rnacentral:lncRNA from 12 species
AUGAAUAAUACCCUGUACAGCCAUACUGCAUUUAAUUACCAUUGCAACUCCUCUUCAAAUGAGACUGAAGAAUCUCCUGUAAUAGUGUUGUUUCUCUCUGUUCUUUGUGUCAUUAGUGUAAGAUCAGGCUCACAUGUGUCCAGCUCUGUGUCUGUGAAGAGUGACCAUUCAAAAGGAGACGGACCGAACAUCCGUAAGGAAACACCAUGUAACAAAAGUGUAAGAUCAGGCUCACAUGUGUCCAGCAAUGUGUCUGUGGAGAGUGACCAUUCAAAAGGUGGUGGACCGAACUUUAGUGAGAAAAAAACAUCACCUUCAAUAAGUGUAAGAUCAGGUUCUCAUGUGCCCAGCUCUGUGUCUGUGAAGAGUGACCAUUCAAAAGGUCACGGACCAAACUUCAGUGAGAAAAGACCAUGUAACAAAAGGUAUUUCAUCGUUUGCAUUAUAGUGAUUUUAUUUUUUCCUCACUGUGGUGUAUGUUAUAGAACUUGAUUAAAUACAAAAAUGAAUCACAGAACAUAAUGUAUUGCUAACUGUUUCAUCUUUAAUAAAAAAUUUGUUUAGUUACACAGGUAGCCACUAGGGCUCAUACAUUCACCAUGGAAGUACAGAACAGUUCGUUUGCAACACAAGACCUCUUUACCUGUUAUUGUA